rnacentral:rRNA from 1 species
UACGAAGGGUGCUAGCGUUGUUCGGAUUUACUGGGCGUAAAGGGUGCGUAGGCGGCUUGGCAAGUUGGAUGUGAAAGCCCAGGGCUCAACCCUGGAAUUGCAUUCAAGACUGCUUUGCUUGAAUUCGGUAGAGGUUGGUGGAAUUCCCAGUGUAGAGGUGAAAUUCGUAGAGAUUGGGAAGAACGCCCGUGGCGAAGGCGGCCAACUGGACCGACAUUGACGCUGAGGCACGAAAGCGUGGGGAUCAAACAGG